UCGCAUGGGCGAAAGCUGACGUUACACGCCGCGUGCGGGAUGAACGCCUUCGGUCUGUAAACCGCUUUCAGCAGGAACGAAAAUACGGUACCUGCAGAAGAAGGAGCGGCCAACUACGUGCCAGCAGCCGCGGUGACACGUAGGCUCCAAGCGUUGUCCGGAUUUAUUGGGCGUAAAGAGCUCGUAGGCGGUUGAGUAAGUCGGGUGUGAAAACUCUGGGCUUAACCCGGAGACGCCAUCCGAUACUGCUCUGACUUGAGUUCAGGAGGGGAGUGGGGAAUUCCUAGUGUAGCGGUGAAAUGCGCAGAUAUUAGGAGGAACACCGGUGGCGAAGGCGCCACUCUGGACUGAAACUGACGCUGAGGAGCGAAAGCAUGGGUAGCAAACAGGAUUAGAUACCCUGGUAGUCCAUGCCGUAAACGGUGGGCACUAGGUGUGGGUUCCAACUAACGGGAUCCGCGCCGUCGCUAACGCAUUAAGUGCCCCGCCUGGGGAGUACGGUCGCAAGACUAAAACUCAAAGGAAUUGACGGGGGCCCGCACAAGCAGCGGAGCGUGUUGCUUAAUUCGAUGCUACGCGAAGAACCUUACCUGGGUUUGACAUGUCUGGAAAAGCCACAGAGAUGUGGUGUCCGCAAGGGGCCAUACACAGGUGGUGCAUGGCUGUCGUCAGCUCCU
rnacentral:rRNA from 1 species